ensembl:misc_RNA 7SK 7SK RNA
UGAUGCGAAGGUGAUCUGAUCACAAGCUCUGUCACCCCAAUGACCAUCAGGAUUCAUCCAGCUGACCUACUUGGGCAGGCAGGGAUCUGCUUCCUGUUUCAUCUUUCCAUGUGCAUUGGAUAGGAUGGGCUUCCCUGAGAGAGGAGACUGUGUUUGGUGGGAGGAUACUCAGAUACUCAGACAUGAGUAUCUGUAAUGUACUAUUAGAAUCUCCAAAGCCUUCAAGAGUACUUCAUACCCAAGUAAAUGUGAGUUAUAGGAAUGGUUACACUUACAAACUGGGGUUACUGUUCUAUCAGGAUUU